rnacentral:rRNA from 1 species
AUUGAACGCUGGCGGCAGGCCUAACACAUGCAAGUCGAACGAGUGGCGGACGGGUGAGUAAUGUCUGGGAAACUGCCUGAUGGAGGGGGAUAACUGCUGGAAACGGUAGCUAAUACCGCAUAACAUCCGAUGUGCCCAGGUGGGAUUAGCUAGUUGGUGGGGUAACGGCUCACCAAGGCGACGAUCCCUAGCUGGUCUGAGAGGCUGACCAGCCACACUGGAACUGAGACACGGUCCAGACUCCUACGGGAGGCAGCAGUGGGGAAUAUUGCACAAUGGGCGCAAGCCUGAUGCAGCCAUGCCGCGUGUAUGAAGAAGGCCUUCGGGUUGUAAAGUACUUUCAGCGGGGAGGCGUUACCCGCCGAAGAAGCACCGGCUAACUCCGUGCCAGCCGCCGCGGUAAUUC